AGGGUUCCAAGUUUUCAUAUGUGUGUGUCGACAUUUGAGAGGGAAAGCUCUCUCAAGAUAAAAUUGCCUAAAUUCAGCCAAAUCAAGAUGAAAUCGAUACUAUGUCCUUUGCGUGUUUGAAGAUUUCAAUCAUCUAGUAGCAUCAAAACCUAAGGUGUGAAGGUGGAAGGAUCAAGCAACCAAGGGAAACAAGAAGUACAAGACCGAGGUAAAUCAUCAAUCAAAAGAUCAAGUUAAACGAAUACACACGUGGUCUUUUUGUUUAUCAAGUCAUGGGUUAUGAACUUAUCUUUCUAAAUGUAAAUGGCUUUCUUUAUAAAAACUUUGUUGGUGUCAUGUGACUAAACUUAAUUAUAUUUUGGCUUUGUUUAUAACGUGGACAAGUAUCUAUGUACUAAAAUUUGAAUGCUUACCUCUCUUAAGGUGUUUUGGACG